CAAACACAGGUGUUCUCUAUCUGCUGUGAUCAUGAACCCUCCAGUCCCUUUCAGACCAGGUGAAGGUUUACUGACUAAAUCCUCGGCUUCAUCAUUAAAUACUGUCUCAACUGGGCUGGGAGGUUGUGAAUAUUUCAUCUUGUUUUGUUGCUCUGGUCUGGUGUGUUUCUGUCACAGGACGAGGACUUCCUGGACUCAGAACCGUCUGCUGGCAGGUCGCUGUUGUGGGCGGCGGCGGGCAGCGAGGAGAGGCCGAGGCCUGACUGACGGCCGCAGAACGAGGGCGGAGCCUGGAUGAGCGGCGGCGUGUGGCCGAAGGCGCCGAGCCCUCGCUGAUGAGAGAGCAGCUGCUGGUGACCGUAGGAGCUGCUGGCGGCCGAGCUGGAGCGCGAGUUGUUGAUGUAGGCGACCAGCGAGUUGGGCGAAGUGCGGAUCAUCGUCUGGAGGUCGAUGCUGGCGUCCGACAGCGGCGAGAUGGACAGCGCCCUCUUCCUGCCGAGCCGCGGCGUCAGUCUGGAGCCGGAGAACCGCGACACUGUGGACGAUGCAAAGAACGACUCCUGAGAUCCAAACAGUCGCCUCCUCGUGUCACACGCCGCCGUUAUUUCAGGAUGGAGGAGGCGUGAUGGAUGCCGCCGCAGCCUCCCCGCGACACCCUGAACCCCCGACGGACGCAGAACAACCAUAUCAACGAGCUCCACGUCGACUCACAGCUGAUCCACAAAACAAUCUGUUCACGGUGACGGAGACUGAACCUGACGGAGGAGAGAUCACGGAGUCCCCACGCGGCACAAAAUCCACCAAAACGAACUUUCUUUAGGAACAUCAACAACUCCCAUGAUCCCGCGCUGCUUCACGGAAAGAACUCUGUAAAAUAAUAUGGCACUUUAUGCAAAAUCAUAUUUUAUAAACUGUCUUUCUGCAGUAAUUUACUGUAAGUUACUUUUGUGUCUCUACAAAUAUUAUUAAUUACUCUUAAAAACAUUUAACCACAUGCUUAAUAACAAAAAACACAUAGAGUGACGACUGAUUUCUGUAAUCUCACAUUUCUUCUUUCAUGUAAUCUUAAAUUAUUUGUAUUUUUAAAGAUGAACUUUUAAAUAUCUAAAACUAUAGAAAGAAAUAUCUGUUAAAUAUCUAAAAAUAC